AACAUACUCCCUCCGUCCGGAAAUACUUAUCAUCAAGAUGGAUAAAAAGAGAUAUAUUUAGAAUUAAAAUACAUCUAGAUACAUCCCCUUUUAUCCAGUUUGAUGACAAGUAUUUCCGGGAGGGAGUAUAAA
rfam:Triticum aestivum genome assembly, contig: Triticum_aestivum_CS42_TGACv1_scaffold_514328_6BS